CCAAUAGCGUAUAUUAAAGUUGUUGCAGUUAAAAAGCUCGUAGUUGAAUUUCGGGGUUAGUAGGUUGGUCGUGCCACCGGUAUGUACUGGCUUUACUGAUCCCUCCUUCUUGUAGAACCGUAAUGCCAUUAACUUGGUGUUGCGGGGAAACAGGACUGUUCCUUUGAAAAAAUUAGAGUGUUUAAAGCAGGCUAACGCUUGAAUACAUUAGCAUGGAAUAAUGAAAUAGGACGAUCGAUCCUAUUUUGUUGGUUUCUAGGAUUGACGUAAUGAUUAAUAGGGAUAGUUGGGGGCAUUAGUAUUCAAUUGUCAGAGGUGAAAUUCUUGGAUUUAUUGAAGACUAACUACUGCGAAAGCAUUUGCCAAGGAUGUUUUCAUUAAUCAAGAACGAAAGUUAGGGGAUCGAAGACGAUCAGAUACCGUCGUAGUCUUAACCAUAAACUAUGCCGACUAGGGAUCGGAUGAUGUUAAUUUUUUAAUGACUCAUUCGGCGCCUUACG
rnacentral:rRNA from 1 species